rnacentral:rRNA from 1 species
CCGGCGACCGGCGCACGGGUGAGUAACGCGUAUGCAACCUGCCCGUUUCAGCGGGAUAACCCGGAGAAAUCCGGCCUAAUACCGCAUGUGGCCGAGGGGAGGCAUCUUCUUUCGGCCAAAGGAGGUGACUCCGGAGACGGAUGGGCAUGCGUGACAUUAGCUAGACGGCGGGGUAACGGCCCACCGUGGCGACGAUGCGUAGGGGUUCUGAGAGGAAGGUCCCCCACACUGGUACUGAGACACGGACCAGACUCCUACGGAAGGCAGCAG